AUUGAACGCUGGCGGCAGGCUUAACACAUGCAAGUCGAGCGGGGUGAUGGUGCUUGCACUAUCACUUAGCGGCGGACGGGUGAGUAAUGCUUAGGAAUCUGCCUAUUAGUGGGGGACAACAUCUCGAAAGGGAUGCUAAUACCGCAUACGUCCUACGGGAGAAAGCAGGGGAUCACUUGUGACCUUGCGCUAAUAGAUGAGCCGAAGUCGGAUUAGCUAGUUGGUGGGGUAAAGGCCUACCAAGGCGACGAUCUGUAGCGGGUCUGAGAGGAUGAUCCGCCACACUGGGACUGAGACACGGCCCAGACUCCUACGGGAGGCAGCAGUGGGGAAUAUUGGACAAUGGGGGGAACCCUGAUCCAGCCAUGCCGCGUGUGUGAAGAAGGCCUUAUGGUUGUAAAGCACUUUAAGCGAGGAGGAGGCUCUUUUGGUUAAUACCCAAGAUGAGUGGACGUUACUCGCAGAAUAAGCACCGGCUAACUCUGUGCCAGCAGCCGCAGUAA
rnacentral:rRNA from 1 species